rnacentral:tRNA from 1 species
GGCACUUUGGCGGAGUGGUUAACGCGAUGCCCUGCUAUCCUUAGUCAGGCAUUUCCUUCGGGAGCGUGUGUUCGAAUCACACAGGUGUCG